UACGGCUGCCUACUUUGUGGUACACAAAUGAAUAUACUUAUUGUCACGUGUCAUGAUAGAGCACACAUUUGCAGCCACGAGGCAGAGCUAGAGAGAGCAAGACGAUGUGUACCUUGCCGACUGUCAUGUCUCCUAAUGUACGUCGCUCACCUUUUGAUAACUACUCAACGCUGCAUAGCACAGGAUUCAGCAUUCAAUCACUCUUAUAAUUAAUUAUUGUUAUUUCAUCUUUUAUGGGGGACGCCCCACUCUUAAUUUUUAUCACUAAAUGGCUGCUGACGUACGUAUAUAUAAGAGCACUACAAGAUACGACAGGAAAGGUGUUCCAGGCCACCAUAAAAUGCUGGCUUUCUGAGGAGGAGAUGAUCUGUUAUUGGCCGGGGAUGGACUGGACCCACCGCCGGGGAUAGACUGGACACACCUCUGAGUAGGCCGGGGAUGGACUGGACACACCUCUGAGAGACCAAGGGCCAGUUACUGUAUCAUGAAAGGCUACUCUAAACAGAGGGAGUCGGCCACACAAGUCGGAGGGAGCAGCAAGUUCUACUAAGAGCCAGCAUCACCAACUAACCAACACACUACAAGACCUACCUACUACCAGCUAGGACAGCACACCACCCGGGACAGACUCUACUAUACCAUGUAAUACGCCUUUGUAUUACGAUCAUGAUACAAUUUGCUGCCCUCCCUCGCCAAUGGAUUGAAUAAUUAUGGACACUCGCAGGACAACUAAGAGACUGACACACAAUAAUAGACACCAAAGGGCCAGUUACUGUAUCAUGUACGAAUAUUCUGUUGCUUGUACAUUUCGUAACAUUAUCAGUAAUUGACUGUAGAGUAGCAUCUUGAGCUCCCCUUUCUUCAUCACUCAAUCUGCAGGCAGUGUAUGUGAUUUUCUGACAGGAAAGGCUACUCUAAACAGAGGGAGUCGGCCACACAAGGUAUAGUCUAAUAAUUAUUGUACAGUACUAGAUGAUCUUCUCUGUUUUGGGUCAGAUGCAAUUGCCUUGAAUCACUAGCCAGUUUAAAACAUUUCUUCUACUCUUGGCUUAAGAAAUUGUAUUUUAUUAUUGUACCAGCAUUAGGUAGUUAACUCCACUUAUGCAUUGACCUCUGCGUGUAGCGGGAAAGUUCGUUAUUUGAGCCCUCGAGAAAUGUUGUAUAGUUGUUCACAUUUCAAUGCCAGGAAACCAUAGCUUUGCAUGGUGCGUGGGAGUGUCUUCCAUUUAUAUUACAUGAAGUGUGAAGUGUGUUGUAAGUUUAUACAGAGAGGACUCCCAUGGUGGGAAUGAUCUGAUGAUGGCUCCACUGCUCUGAUGGACCAAUGCAGGAGAAGUUAUUCUGUAUAAUUAUUACACUAAAUUAAUGUAUGCCACUGUUUGGAUCGGUUUCUGUUCUGCUCAGCUUCUUCCUCCAACUUGCUUACGCAGGCUAAGCUUAUUCUUAAUUAGUUCAUUCUUAGUUCAUUCUAUAGCCUAGUAUUAUUGUCGGUUUGGUUGUUUUAUGUUUUUCACCUGGUCAUACGGAAUCACUUCAUUAAUUUUUAUACAGUGCAGACCACACCUCUAUCCACACAUUGUACCUGCACAUCCUGUAUAUAUGGGGCCACACCCCCACUCACUGUACUGAUAUGUGGUCACACCCCUAUACAUGGUAACCCUCUUGACCACACCCCCACCCAUGCAUUGUGUCGUACAUGCUGUGUUUUUGUGUACAGUACACACAUCAUCCGUGUCUUUAUCCCCACACCUAGUCGGAGGGACAGCAAGUUCUACUAAGAGCCAGCAUCACCAACUAACAAACACACUACAAAACCUACCUACUACCAGCUAGGACAGCACACCACCCGGGACAGACUCUACUAUACCAUGUAAUACGCCUUUGUAUUACGAUCAUGAUACAAUUUGCUGCCCUCCCUCGCCCAUGGAUUGAAUAAUUAUGGACACUCGCAGGAGACUGACACACAAUAAUAGACACCAAAGGGCCAGUUACUGUAUCAUGUACGAAUAUUCUGUUGCUUGUACAUUUCGUAACAUUAUCAGUAAUUGACUGUAGAGUAGCUCCCCUUUCUUCAUCACUCAAUGCAGGCAGUGUAUGUGAUUUUCUGACAGGAAAGGCUACUCUAAACAGAGGGAGUCGGCCACACAAGAGAGGACUCCCAUGGUGGCAAUGAUCUGAUGAUGGCUCCACUGCUCUGAUGGACCAAUGCAGGAGAAGUUAUUCUGUAUAAUUAUUACACUAAAUUAAUGUAUGCCACUGUUUGGAUCGGUUUCUGUUCUGCUCAGCUUCUUCCUCCAACUUGCUUACGCAGGCUAAGCUUAUUCUUAAUUAGUUCAUUCUUAGUUCAUUCUAUAGUCUAGUAUUAUUGUCGGUUUGGUUGUUUUAUGUUUUUCACCUGGUCAUACGGAAUCACUCAUUAAUUUUUAUACAGUGCAGACCACACCUCUAUCCACACAUUGUACCUGCACAUCCUGUAUAUAUGGGGCCACACCCCCACUCACUGUACUGAUAUGUGGUCACACCCCCAUACAUGGUAACCCUCUUGACCACACCUCCACCCAUGCAUUGUGUCGUACAUGCUGUGUUUUUGUGUACAGUACACACAUCAUCCGUGUCUUUAUCCCCACACCUAGUCGGAGGGAGCAGCAAGUUCUACUAAGAGCCAGCAUCACCAACUAACCAACACACUACAAGACCUACCUACUACCAGCUAGGACAGCACACCACCCGGGACAGACUCUACUAUACCAUGUAAUACGCCUUUGUAUUACGAUCAUGAUACAAUUUGCUGCCCUCCCUCGCCAAUGGAUUGAAUAAUUAUGGACACUCGCAGGACAACUAAGAGACUGACACACAAUAAUAGACACCAAAGGGCCAGUUACUGUAUCAUGUACGAAUAUUCUGUUGCUUGUACAUUUCGUAACAUUAUCAGUAAUUGACUGUAGAGUAGCAUCUUGAGCUCCCCUUUCUUCAUCACUCAAUCUGCAGGCAGUGUAUGUGAUUUUCUGACAGGAAAGGCUACUCUAAACAGAGGGAGUCGGCCACACAAGGUAUAGUCUAAUAAUUAUUGUACAGUACUAGAUGAUCUUCUCUGUUUUGGGUCAGAUGCAAUUGCCUUGAAUCACUAGCCAGUUUAAAACAUUUCUUCUACUCUUGGCUUAAGAAAUUGUAUUUUAUUAUUGUACCAGCAUUAGGUAGUUAACUCCACUUAUGCAUUGACCUCUGCGUGUAGCGGGAAAGUUCGUUAUUUGAGCCCUCGAGAAAUGUUGUAUAGUUGUUCACAUUUCAAUGCCAGGAAACCAUAGCUUUGCAUGGUGCGUGGGAGUGUCUUCCAUUUAUAUUACAUGAAGUGUGAAGUGUGUUGUAAGUUUAUACAGAGAGGACUCCCAUGGUGGGAAUGAUCUGAUGAUGGCUCCACUGCUCUGAUGGACCAAUGCAGGAGAAGUUAUUCUGUAUAAUUAUUACACUAAAUUAAUGUAUGCCACUGUUUGGAUCGGUUUCUUUUCUGCUCAGCUUCUUCCUCCAACUUGCUUACGCAGGCUAAGCUUAUUCUUAAUUAGUUCAUUCUUAGUUCAUUCUAUAGUCUAGUAUUAUUGUCGGUUUGGUUGUUUUAUGUUUUUCACCUGGUCAUACGGAAUCACUUCAUUAAUUUUUAUACAGUGCAGACCACACCUCUAUCCACACAUUGUACCUGCACAUCCUGUAUAUAUGGGGCCACACCCCCACUCACUGUACUGAUAUGUGGUCACACCCCCAUACAUGGUAACCCUCUUGACCACACCUCCACCCAUGCAUUGUGUCGUACAUGCUGUGUUUUUGUGUACAGUACACACAUCAUCCGUGUCUUUAUCCCCACACCUAGUCGGAGGGAGCAGCAAGUUCUACUAAGAGCCAGCAUCACCAACUAACCAACACACUACAAGACCUACCUACUACCAGCUAGGACAGCACACCACCCGGGACAGACUCUACUAUACCAUGUAAUACGCCUUUGUAUUACGAUCAUGAUACAAUUUGCUGCCCUCCCUCGCCAAUGGAUUGAAUAAUUAUGGACACUCGCAGGACAACUAAGAGACUGACACACAAUAAUAGACACCUAACUGCAUUUUUGCCAUUAAUAUAAUAAAAAUAAUUUUGCCAUUAAUUAAUCAUUAA